rnacentral:tRNA from 1 species
UUCGUCUAGAGGCCUAGGACACCGCCCUUUCACGGCGGUAACAGGGGUUCGAAUCCCCUAGGGGACGCCA